GACGUGGGGGGCCAGCGUUGUUCGGAAUUACUGGGUGUAAAGGGUUCGUAGGCGGUGUGGCACGUCGGGAGUGAAAUCUAUGGGCUUAACCCAUAGGCUGCUUCCGAAACUGCUGUGCUGGAGUGUGGGAGAGGCGCGUGGAAUUGCAGGUGUAGCGGUGAAAUGCGUAGAUAUCUGCAGGAACACGCGUGGCGAAAGCGGCGCGCUGGACCACUACUGACGCUGAGGAACGAAAGCUAGGGGAGCAAACAGG
rnacentral:rRNA from 1 species